CUAUUUAUAGGCAUCGAGUACAUAUUUCUACUUGGAUUAGAAGUGCAAGUUAUGACUCUGUUUGGAUUAGAAUAUGUAAGUUAAGUAGGAUUUAUAUUCUGGCUAGUAUUAAGGGUCAUAAUAGGACACUACUAACUAACCCAUUAAUACAUUUAUAAAACUCUUUGUUUGUUUUCGCCUUUUUAUUUUCAACUUAGAAAGAUUUCUUGUUACAAUAUUAAUUUGAGAUCACUAUCAAUGCUAAGAUUCAGAUCAAAUUUAAGAUCACCGAAUCUCGUAGUAAACCUAAUAUACAUCUUGUAUACCUGAUGAUAUCCCAUAUAAUCUCAACAAGCAUUGAUAAAACAUAUUCAUUAAGUAAAACAAAAGUAUGUAAUGUCUCAUUAAAUGUAAACAUCCAUAUAUAGCCCUCAUUAAAUGCUGCAAUCAUAUAGUCAUUAUAUAUAUGCUACAGUGUUUAAAUUCAUAAAAUUACUUAAAAACUUAAGUACAUAAAAAUAUCAUGAAAUAAUUGCGAUCUACAAACUAAAACUCUAGGUAUGACACAAUUCUAAAUCACACAAUUACUUCAUGUCUGUUACAGAAGAUUAGAACUUAAACAAAACUAUACUCAAUUAGCAAUUGUCUGACUCUCAAACCUACAAAUCUAGGGAUUAGGGGAAGGUAGAAGUUGUGGAUAGCCUAAUGAGUAAAAACAUAUAUAUCUAUUUAGUUUAAAGAAUUAGGAUAUUAAUAUGAAUGUAUCAGAAUAUAAACAUUUCACAUUAUGAUGGACUUAUCAUCAAUGACUUUUCAUAUAUCAAUAUACUCGCCUAUUAUGGGUGCUCUUUAAGGACUUUAUCUUACAACAUAAAUAUAAGCCAUAGUGCUAAAAGUAUAAAAUGGACCAACCUGAUCUUUUUCUUAACAUAAUACUAGGGACAUAGAAUGGACCAACCUAGUCUUUCUAUAUACAUAGUCAUGUUUUAUAACAACAUCAUUGAAGGGAUAGCGGGUCAUCCAACAUCCACCUUUCAACUACAAUUACAAAAAAAUACAAUGCAACAUAUUCAUAUUUUCAAUAUACAACCUAUUAUAUAUAAUAAUAUACAUGAUGAAUGAGCAUACUUAAACCAUUUAGUUUUAAUUAAAAUAAGUUUCAUUCUACUCAUCUAUUGAAGACACAAAAACUUCAUCUCAACCUACAACUACCUCACUAUUAUCCUGAACAGUCUCUCAAGUCCGACUUUAUAUAGUAAGGGACCAUAACAUAACUUUUAUAAUUCUAGAACUAUUCUAAGAAACUCCUAAAAGCAUUAAAAAAAAUAUAUAAGAAAAGUACAUAAAGAGGCUGGAUAAGGGACUAUCAGCAAAACAUUUAGUGGCUUAAGUCCUUUGUAAAGAGUAGAAACUUUAAGUUAGGAGGCACCUUAGGCCGCCAAAAGAUGCUCUUAAGAAGUACAAGUUCAGCGGCUAAAGACAAGUUCAGUGACUAAACCUGGAUUUUCAUAAGUGCGAAACUCAAUUCUACAUAAUCUUAUUUUGGCCUAAACUUGACUAAAACCAAAACUUAUCAAUAACCAUCUAACAACUUCCAAGUGACUGCGAUAAUGCAAAAGGACCCACAUACAUCCCAAAACACAUAUAAAAUUGCUUGAACAAAACAUAUCUGCUUAAUACAUAGGCACACACUUUCAUAUCCAUUAACACAUAUAUCAUCAUCAUUAACAACAAGAAUUUAUUGCUCAUUAAAGCUCUAGAAAUCUUUAUCCAUAGACCUAAAACACAUGCAAAGCUUUUUAAAGCUCAAAACAUCCAUCAAACAAUGAGUUUUAAGAAAACUAUAUCUCUCUCUACCCACCCCAAGAGAUAGAUGCAAUACUCUAGAUUCAUACAUUUAAACUUCAAAAAAAUAAAUUUAGAGAAAUAGAAAUUGAGCUUACCUUUUAGGAGAAAACCCCAACUCAAAAAAGAGAAGAGAUAGAAAGCUUCAAUUUCAAAACCUUUGGAUCCAACUAGAAAUCUUCUUAAAAAUAGUAAGGAAUUAAUGAAUCAUUUUUAUUAAAAAUAAAAAAAAAUCUCAAAAAGAGUAAUUUCUUACAUCCUAAUCCUAUAAUGUAAAGCAAUCUCUCCAUUUUCAGACCUAAAACACAUGCAAAGCUUUUUAAAGCUCAAAACAUCCAUCAAACAAUGAGUGUUAAGAAAACUAUAUCUCUCUCUACCCACCCCAAGAGAUAGAUGCAAUACUCUAGAUUCAUACAUUUAAACUUCAAGAAAAUAAAUUUAGAGAAAUAGAAAUUGAGCUUACCUUUUAGGAGAAAACCCCAACUCAAAAAAGAGAAGAGAUAGAAAGCUUCAAUUUCAAAACCUUUGGAUCCAACUAGAAAUCUUCUUAAAAAUAGUAAGGAAUUAAUGAAUCAUUUUUAUUAAAAAUAAAAAAAAAUCUCAAAAAGAGUAAUUUCUUACAUCCUAAUCCUAUAAUGGAAAGCAAUCUCUCCAUUUUCAAUAUGGAGUCCUGUUUGUACCCGUGGCUACCAAACCACAUUCGAUAGCCAAAUGCCCAUGUUCAAUGGUCAAUAUUAUUUUUAUUUCAAACUUCAUUUAUUUUUGAAAAAUAUAUUUAAAAUAUACUAAAAAUUCAUUAAAAAAAAACAUUUUACCCUUGUCUAAGAUCUCUAAACUUGGGAUUCUAAAUUUCAACAAAAAAAUUCAUAAAAAAUUUAAAAUUUAGACAGGUGUUACAUUUCUACUAUAGUGAUAUCACCCAAUGCACUCAAAAUAAUUAGUCUUUUCAUUCUUGAUUACGGUCUAACAUCUUAUUUUUUUGUAUUGAAAAAAUUUUCUAAAGUGCUAUGUCAUUCUCCUUCUCACUAAAACCCCUCCAUCCAUCUUUCUUCUAUUAUAUAGAAAAUUCUUUUUCAACUCCUUCAAUUUUAGUGAACUAUUAAUACCAUUUAGAUAAAUGUUGUAUUUUUUUUAUAUAAAAAAGUAUCAACAAAGGUUUCAUAAGCAGCAAACAAUAUAAUACAACUAAUGCUUUAUUUUCAAUACUAAUAUCAAUGUCAGUAUUUUUCACGUGAUAAUGAUAGAUUUUAAUUCAUCCUGAUGUUCUUUAAAUAGGAGUACCUUUAGUCAUUUUGAUAUUUUACCAUCUUUUUCUUAAAAUAGAGAUAGUUUUUAAUGAUGUUAUUAAAUAUAGCUCCUCUAAUUUCAUUAAUGCCCUAAAUGUUAAUUUCACAAGUAACCUCUCAUAAUAUUAUUGAUGAUGCUAUGAAAAUCAUACUUAAAGCUCAUUCCUUCACAUCUACCUCAUCAACCUUCUUCAUAUCUUGUGUAAAUUAUUCUUAAGUUCUUUUCAUAAACUUUGUAAAAUCAAGGAACAUUUAUUUUAAUCUUCCACAUAUUAAAUCUCAAUCCAACAUCAAACUUCUCUACCUUAUACCUCUUUGAAGAUGGUGCCAUCUGUAAGACCUAGAUCACAUAUUCUCACAAGGUUCUGACACUAGUUUAUUAUGGUAGCCACACACAAUAACACAAUUCAAAUCUAGAGAGAAAGAAAAAGUGGGGUAUAAGAUUUACAUGAUACAAUUAUAAGGUCUACAUUCACAAAUAUAAUUUGAGAUGAAAAUUUCAUUAUGGUAAAAAGAUAAGAUUCAAUUUCUCAAAACUCAAACCCUUUUCACGAUGUGUUUCUCAUAUUUCUCACAAUACCACACAAUUUGAAGGAAAGUGCAAUAUUUAUUCUCGAGUUUGUGUCCUUUAUUUUCAUCAUAUAUAAACCUCAAAAAAUAUUUAUAUCGUAAUAUGAAACUUUCAAAUUAGUUCACAAUUUGAGUCGAUAAAAUUAUAUUUAAUUUUAAGCCAUAUAGAUAAUAUAAGUAAAUAUAUUUUAAAUAGAAAUCAGAAUGGCUCACCCAAAUAAAUUAACCUAAUUUUAUGUCAUUAAAGAACAUAUUCAUACGAAGGAACAUAACUUAUUAUGAGUAGGAAGUGUAAUUAAAAUAAGAACUUUAAAUAGUUUAAGCUUAAUAUAAUAUCAUUUUUUAGCUUGAAGCUCAAUUUGAACUUUAUUAUUCAAGCUCUAGGUGUACUUGUUAUAAAUAUAUUAAACUUGAAAUCAAUUCGAACUCAAUUUAUAAUAAGUUUGUCAAUAUUGUUCACAAACUAAGUUUAAAAUCAACUUAUAUGAAAUCUUGAUACUUAAUUAUUUUAAGUUGUAAUUUAAUUAAAAUUAAAAAUUUAAAAAUAAUAUAACUCUUGGGAUUCGUGAGGUCCCACGAUAUUACUAAGUCAUGCCGAUAAAACAUCUAAAGGGGAAGGAGGUCUUCCCUAUAGGGUGGGUUAUAUAUAUAUAUAUAUAUAUAUAUAUAUAUAUAUAUAUAUAUAUGAGUUUAUCAUAAUUUAAAAAAUAUAUAUCGUACCAAAAUUUGACACUUAAUAUUGAAGGAUCAACAGAUAGCACGAGAGAUAGAUAUAUAAUAAUAGUUAUAAUUACAUAGUUUAAUAUUUUUUUGUAUGAAGCUAGUUACGUAAUUUAAUAUACUUUAAUCUUUUAAGUAUUUAGAAUUAAUUAAUGAAAAAAAUAGUCAAAAUUUAAAAAUUAAGGGAGAUAGAUAACAACAUAUAUUAAAAAUAAGAGAGCAUUUAUUAGUUAAUAUUACUUAUUUCAUGUUUGAAAUAGUAUUUUUAUCUAUUAUUAACUAUUUUAUAUUAAUAACAUAUUUAUAAUCUAAUGUAAUAAAUUUAUUUCCCAUGUAGAAAUAGCAUUAACUUGAUAUUUCUUUUAUUACAAAGUUAAAUUUAAAUUAUUAAACAAUUAUAUUUCUACAUAUAUUCUUACAACUAUUAAAUAUAAUAUAAUUUAAUAUUAUAUUAUAUUUAGAAACAUCAAAUUUAAAAUAAAUAUAACUACAAAUUUAUAAAAUAAAUUAUUAAUAUAAAUAUUUGUAAAAAUUAUAAAUAAUUGAACUCAUGAAUAAUUUAAUAAUUUUAUAAUGAGUAUAUUAUUGAAUUUAUUGACGACUAUUAUAAAUGAGCUUGUUCACAAGACUAAUCAAUAAACCUACUUGCAAACUUAUGAAUUUGAAAAAAACUUAAACUUAUAAAUCUUAAUGAGCUUAAUAUUGUUGAACUCUCGAGUUCGGCUCAUUUUGAAAACAAGCUAAGCUUAAUUAAACUUUUAUUUAGUCAAACUUUGAAUAGUUUAGGAAUAUUUUAGUUUAUAUUUAUACCCUAACUAUGAGUGUAUACAAAUGAAGCCCAUUUAUUUGUUUUUCAAUUUAAUGAGACAGACAUAUAUAAACAAAAGUAGUGCAAGUGUAUAAUUUUUUUUAUUAAGAAAAAGAACAAAAAAUCUUGCAAAAAAGUAUUAUGUAUUGGAUGCAUUCUUAGAUUUGAUCUUGAUAACUCUCAUCACAAGGGAAUUUUUAAUUUUAUAAAAGAUGUCGAGGUGCACAAAAUGACUUUCUCUUUUUAAAAAAGAAAUUAUUUUUCUUAAAAUGACUUAUUUUUCUCUUUAAUCAGGAAAAUAUGUUCUAUUCACUAAAUUUUUUAAAUGUCUUAAAGAUAAAAAAAUAUUAAAAAAUAUUUUCUAUGCAAUAAACGGACAAUAGUGAAUUAAUGUAUGGAAUGUAUUAUAAUAUUUUCUAUGAAAUAAAUGAAGCAAUCGUGAAUUAAUGUAUGGAAUGUAUUAUAAAAAUUUGAUUAUACGGUACACUAAUGUUAUUAAUAUUAAUAUCCAAAGAGUCUAUGCAUGACAUGAGUUAAAAGAGCAUGUAUUUGAGUUUAUAUGUUGAUUUUAUGAUUUUUUUUAAAAUUUUAAUGAUAAUUAAUUUGAGAUAUUUAAUUUGAUUAUUUAUAUUAAUUAUAUCUUUUAAAAUUAAGUAAUAUAUUUUAUUUCAUAAAUAUUUUUAAUAAUAUUUCAUUGUUAUGUAACUAUUAGUACAAAUUUUAUUGUAUGUAUAGUUAUAUUGUUAAAGAUUAUUUAAAUAAAAUAUUUUUAUGAUAAAGAAAUUAUGAAACUUUAUUUUAUAUUAAUUUUUCACAAUUUAACUAUGCAUAAUACUUAUAUAUUUUAGUGAAAGUUAAAAAUAUAAUUUUAUUUCUAUAAUUAUUUUCCCGAAAGCUUAGUUUUAAAAAAGUCAUUCAGGCAACAUUUACUCAUAGGAAACUCAUAUUAUAGUUUUUUGAUAAAAGUUUUUAGAAUAUUUUUUAAAAAGAAAUUGAAAAAUUAAGUUUAUUUUUUAAUGUGUUGGUUUUUCUAAAUGAAGAAUUAAAAAAUUAAUUUUCUAGUUUUUUAAAAUUUAGAUAGGAUUUGAAUUAUCAUAAUGGGAUUUUUUUUUAAAUGAGAAAUAGUUCGCUUUUCUAUAAAGAAUCAUAUCACAAUAUUUUCAUAACUAAAAUUACAUAGUUAUUUAUUAAUUAUAUUAUUUUAAAAUAAAUCAAUACGAUGUAUAUAGCGAUUAUUUAGAAAUUAUAAGGGCAAAAUACUAACUAUUUCAAAGUAACAUGUACGAUAAUAAAUAUUAAAAUUAAUAAAAAAAUUUUUUAACAAUAUUAAUUUUGCUACUAUACUAAUUAAUAUAUAAUAGCAAUAUUAAUAAUUACUUGCUAAUAAUAUAUAAAAAGAUAUAGUAAUAACAAAAUUUGUGAGCAUUUAGUAAAAAGUUGUUUUCAGUAAUAUUUUAUUAUUACUAAUAAUUAUUUUUAAGUAACAACUAUAAUUUUAUUAUAAAUUAUCUAUGAUGAUCAUUUUUUAUAAUAAUAACAUGCAGUAAUCAUAUAUUAUGUUAUAAAUUUAUAACAGCAAACUUUAUAUUUCUUUUUUAAAAAAAAUAUUUCAAUUGAUUUUAGUAGUUUUUUAAGUGAUGGACUAAAUAAUUAUUUUUAUAUAAAGAGACUAGGAAUUAUUUUUACCAAAACAUAUGAACUAAAAAGGUAAUUUUCUUAUAUUAAACUUAAAUUAGAAUCAAAAUGCAAGCGGCUAUUCCAAUAACUAAAUAAUUCAUGUGACAAACUACAUUUUGUUGAUAUAUGAAGUUUAAUGUUAUAUUAUACACGGUACACAAUACUCCACAAUCAUGAAGGACUAUUUUAUAUUUUUUAUAUUUUUUCUAGACAUAUAAAUAUAUAAUAUAUAAUAUUUUUUUAGUGUAUUCUGUUAAAAAAUUCACAGAGAAAUAUAAAAAUACUAGUAUUCAUGAACAUAAUCAAAUUGAUAAAUCACAUUAAAUUUAUGUAUUGUUUACUUUUAUGCUUUUUUUUUUUGGAUUGUUUGAUGGUUUGAUAUUGACACAUUUGAAUUCAAGUUUUUGAAACUUAAUAUAUACUUGUGUUUUUAAUAUAAAUGAUUUUAAUGAAUUUUAAAUUUAGAUUUUUUUAAUAAGUAAAUAUAUUAUAUUAAUAGAAAUUGAGAAAUUUUUGACAUCUAGAUUGACAUAUACUAAGCGAAUCAAGAGAGUUAAAUUUUAAAAGUUUCAUCAAACUUGUUGAUUUGGGUAUAUUGUAGGUUAUAUUUUACAAGAGAAUCAAUCGAGUUUUCUUCAUUGAAGCAAUUCCAAAGGCUCCAUCAGGAAAAAUCUUGAGAAAAGAUUUAAGAGUGAGACUUAUUGCCGGUGUUCCCAACUAGAAUCAAAGUAUAUAGUAAUAUUAUUUGUUACUAAAUCAUUAUAUUUUUUUUAUUGACUAGUGAAUUUUAAUGCUUUUUAGUGAUUAUAAAUAUGUUGUUGCUCUUCAAAAGCAAAAAAGAAAAAAAAAGUUCAGACUUUGUAAUUUGUAAUUAUUUUAUAUAUUUUUUUUUAGAAAUUUAACUUUUACUUUUAAAGAGGUGUUGGACAAAGGUGGAACUCUUGUAUUUAAGUUUGGAAUAUAAUAUGACUAACUGGAUAAAAAAAGCCAUAUCUUUUUAUAAGUUGAUGGUUUAUAUUGAAAAUUUAAAUUUUGGAAUAAUUAUAAAUAAAAUCUAAUUUAUAGCAACAAAAUGUAGAGUUUUAGAGUGUGGAAUUAUUAUUUAAAUUUAUUUUGUUGUUCAAACAAAUUGGUGAUGACUAUAAUUUUUUUUUUUAUAUUAAUAAAAUCCAAAUGUCUUCAAAUUAAAAUUUUUCAAACACAAAAGUUUGUGCUGCGGUAUUAAUAAAAAACUUUACCACGAGUGCUAAAAGCAUAUUUAGAAAGGACGACUGAUACAUAAAUAUUUAAAAAAAUUAUAAAUAUUUAAAAAAAAUUAUAAGAUGCAAAUGCAAUGUUUGUGACUUUUUUGACCUUCCAACCCUUUUCUGAUUUAAAUAUUGUUUUAAUUGUAACUUUUUUCUUAAGAGAAAUGAAUUAUUUACGUUGAAAGCAAUUAAAUUCCCAACAAAUAAUCAAAUGAUAAUAAUUAACCGAUAAACUAAACUUUAAAAAAAUCAAAUUUAAAAAUAAAAUUUGAUAAUAAUUACCUUAAAUUUGUCUUGCAUUUCCAUAUUAAAUAUUGGUUGACUACUAACUUCAGUGGUAUAAGAUAUGUUUGAAAAUGCACCAUCGUUGAUAGAAGUGGAUGAAGAAGCUCUUGCAACGUAACUCAUCACAAAUAAAAAAAGAUUUGUCACAAAAUUUUAUAAAUUAUGGUGAAUUAUGAUUAUAAACUUUUUAUACAUUUCAAGAAAUAUACUUUUUAACGAUAAAAAAAUAACGAUUAAUUUAAUUUUUCCUCAUUAAUGAUAUAUAUAUGAAGAUCAAUAUUGUAAUUGGUUGUUGUUAUGUUAAAUUUUAACGACCAUUAUAAAAUAUUUUCAUUAAAAAUGAGAGUGUUAGUCAAAGUGCAAGUGUACAUUUUUUUCUCUAAAUCCCACGUCAAAAAAAUAAGGGAUGAGAUAUCACUUAAAGCACUAUAAAUUAACAGACAAUAUGACUUAGAAAACAUGUAAACUCAUGAUAAAUACAAAUUGAACUUUUUUUUAUUAUAAAUUUUAUGUACUCAAUUAUUAUCAAUAUCUAUAUACUUUUAAUUAUUAUCACUAUUUUAAAAUUAUUAUAUUUAAACAUUGUCGUUAUUAAAUUUUUAUGACCAUAUUAAUUAUUAUUAACAAAAGAUAAAUAUGUUAUUGUUGUUAUAGGUUUAACGACAUAUUAAAGUGUUGUUGUAAUUAGCAUUAAUAAUGACGCCUUAAUGACUUAAUAAAAUGAUUGUUAAUAAUUUUGAACGACCAACUUUUAAUAUUUAAUGAUAAAAUUUUCUCUCAUUAAGAAAUAUUUUUCCUGUAGUGUUUGAUCUAUAAAAUAAAUUUUGUAUCGAGGAUCUAGUAUCACAACCAUAACUAAAGACAAGCUAAAUUUAGACCAAUAUUACUUAAAAUCAUCAUCAAAUCAGCCAUCCUUCUAAUGUACUCAUCCUAUCAAAUCAUAAUUUUUUUUUCAAUAUCAAAUAUGCCAUGAAAAUGGAAAGAAAGUACAAGUUAGCAGUAGGAUACUUAGUGCUCGAAGAAAACUCAAGUAAUGUUGUAAAACACAAUCAAGAACAUAAUUAAUUUUUUGAAAUUUUCUUACUCAUUUGAAUAUAAAAAGCCCUUGUAAUUAGAGCAAGCUAACUCUAAGUGAUAAAAAGUACAAUAAUGAAAAAUAACACUCUCAAGCAUAAGAAAAAUUCGAGUUUCAUCUAGUGGGGAUAUCUUGCCUCAAGCCUUUUUUGUGUUGAAUGAAAAAAAUUUCACAUGUUAAAAAUUUUUAUUCUCUUAUACAUUUUUGACAUAUUUAAUACUCCUAAUAUUGACAAUACAAUUUUUUUUAAAGUUAUCUUGAAGUAUAAAAUUCAAUAUAUGAGCCUAACAUCUCAAAUGAAAGAACUUAUCUCCAUAAAUAAAUGUUUUUUUUGUAUUGUAGAAACAUUGUUUACUAUGCAUAUGGAAUAAAAAAUUUGUAAUAGUUUGUAUAGUUAGCACAAACUAAUAAAUAACUUAAAUUAAAUAUUUGGUUUUAUUUUAACAAUUGCAUCCAAUAUAGUACAAUAACAUUGCAAUGAGGAUAUCACAAAAUUCAAUGAGAGAAGGCGUGAUAUCCCAUCCCUCAUUGGUGGGAGAAAAAGAUUAUAAUAGGUUUAUACAUGAUUGUUAGACUUGGACCGACUCCAGCAGUUGGACCGUGAUAUCUACGAACCAGUCUGAUUUACAAAUCGAUUCAUUCUUAACAACCGAUAAAGAUUAAAACCGAACAAAACCCGUUGGACCGGCUGACUACUCGGUGACCCGUGUUAGCGGAGUGAGUUUGUCAGUUUGAAUGGGUUUGAUUUAAUUUUUUCCAUCAAGCAAGUGAUGUUAUUUUGCUUUAAUUUUCUUCAUUUGCUCAACUUUGAUACACAACAAAUAUAAUUUUGGCUCUCAACAACAGUUAAGGUAGCUUCCUCUCCUUUCUCUCCCUCUCUCCCUCCCUUUCUCUCUCUGGAGCCCUCCCUCCCCUUCCCUCCCUCCUUGAAUCUUCAAGUUGUAAAUCACAUGUGUAUACAAAUUAGCUUUUAAUUUUGUAUAGAUUAGGUUUUUCAUUUUUAAUUUUGUUAUGAGAAUUUUGUGCUUUUAAUUAGGUUAUUAAAUGGGCUUUUUUGGAUAUGAAUUUGGAUUUAAUUUGUACUUUUAGUGUUUUAUAAAUUUGUGUUGAAUUUGUGCAUUUAUUUAUUUAUUACUUAAUAUUUUUGUUAGAUACCAUUGAUGAAAAUGAUUCAUAAUUGAAGAAUUUUGAGAACAUCGAAUUAUUUGAUGCAAUUAAUUCUUUUGAAAUAUUGUUGGUGGAAGUAAUUCUAUAGAAAGUGAUGGUCUGAUGAUUUUGGUGGAUGAAGGUAUAAUAGAGAUAAUAAUGACCAGUUCAAAAAAAAAAAAUAGAGAUAAUAAUGAAGAUGAGGAUGAAACUCAACUAUGAAUGAUAUUGUAUUUUUUCUUUGAUUUUUUAAGAAUAUAUUAUAUUUUGGCUACUUAUUAUGAGUUUAGUUUAGUGAACAAUUAUGUUCUGUUUAAUAUUUUAAUUAAUUUUACUAUAAACAUUAUUUAUAGAUAUUUAUAUUAAAUAUGGGAUUUGUAUUAGAAUAGUAAUAUUACUAUAUAGGAUUUUAUAUUGUGCUCUAGUUCACUCUCAGUCCACCCGUAAUGAAUUUUAAACCCUUGACCUUUUACUUUUAUCCGUUCUUAGGUCGGUUUAGGUUUGAAAACCAUAGAUUCACAUAGCUAGCUUAAAAACAUUUAAAUAACUUGAAUUAAUUAUUUUGGAUCAAGUGAAAAAAAAGUAUAAUGACUCGAAAAUCGGACUGCUAACGACACUAAGGUUUAGAUUGACUGAAGGUUGUCGGAGCUCCUAGCAAGCCUUCUAAUCGUUCUGUUACAUCUGAUAUAACCCCAACAUAAUCUUAAAACAUACAUAAAAUACUUUCAUCUCAUGAACUAAAACUCGACAUGUGCAUACAUAUAUAACUGAAAACAUAAACCUAUACUAGAGCUCUCAUCAAAUGCUCCAGUAUAGUUAUCAUUACAUGUCUCAGUUUGAUUCAAAUAUAACUUAAACUUAAAACUUUUAUAUAAUAAGAUCAUUAAUAAGAGGAUCAUAAAAGAAAAACUGGGAAAAACAAAAUUCUAAACCAUAAACAUUAUAUGUCUACAACUAAACUAUUAUAUAAAGGGCUAUACCAAAGAACAUUGUUGACUUCUCGAGCUAACUCUAGUCCUACAAACCUGGGGUUAGGAGAAAAGGGAUAAACUACUAGAGCCUAGUGAGCAGAAAUGUAACAUAAAAUAGUUUGAUAAAAUAUAUGCUCAGAUGAAUGAAUCAUAACACAAAUAAUUCACAUCAAGAUGGAGUUAUUACUAAUAACCCUCAAUAAUUCCAAUAAUGUACGACCCACAAUGGGUGCUCCUUAGGAUUUCCACUUAAAUAUAACAUAAUUAUAGUGUCAAAGGCGUAGAAUAGGCACCUUGAUCUUUCUCUUACAGAAUGCUAAGCACAUAGAAUGGGUCUCGACCUAGACUUCCAUAUCCAUUAUACAUAACAUGUCAUAUCAUGUUCGAGGGUUAGUGAGUUAUCUAACAUCCAUACAUAACAACAAUUAGAUAUGCAAUGCAUCAUAUUUGUGAAUCUAAUACAGAAUAACCUAUUCAGAUGUACAUGGAAUUCAUGAUGCAUAGGCAUGCUUAAAACAUUUGAUUUCAUAAAAUAAGAGUUUAGUUUAGUUUAGUUCUCUUCACCUCUGAUGGACAUCGGCCUCUCUCUGAAACAGUUAUCUCACUGCUGGUCUCUACGGUCUCCUAAAUCUAAUUUUACACAGACGGACUUAAAUAAGGAACUAAACAUAACUUUUAUAACUCUUAAAACUACUUCAAGAAACUCCAAAAAGCAUACAAGAAAAUACGUAAAAAAAG
rnacentral:lncRNA from 1 species